rnacentral:rRNA from 1 species
AACGCGAAGAACCUUACCUGGGCUUGAACUACUCGUGGUAGUUCGCUGGAAACAGUGGACGACCCGCAAGGGAGCGAGCAGAGGUGCUGCAUGGUUGUCGUCAGCUCGUGUCGUGAGAUGUUGGGUUAAGUCCCGCAACGAGCGCAACCCCUAUCUCAUGUUGCUAUUCCCGCAAGGGAAGCACUCUUGAGAAACUGCCUUCGAUAAGAAGGAGGAAGGUGGGGACGACGUCAAAUCCUCAUGGCCCUUAUGUCCAGGGCUACACACGUGUUACAAUGGCCGGUACAAUGGGAAGCAAUACCGCAAGGUGGAGCCAAACCCCAAAGCCGGCCCCAGUUCAGAUCGUGGGCUGCAACCCGCCCACGUGAAGGCGGAAUCGCUAGUAAUCGCUGAUCAGCAGGCAGCGGUGAAUACGUUCCCGGGCCUUGUA